UCCAGACUCCUACGGGAGGCAGCAGUGGGGGAUAUUGGACAAUGGGGGAAACCCUGAUCCAGCGACGCCGCGUGAGUGAAGAAGUAUUUCGGUAUGUAAAGCUCUGUCAGCAGGGAAGAAAGAAAUGACGGUACCUGACCAAGAAGCCCCGGCUAACUACGUGCCAGCAGCCGCGGUAAUACGUAGGGGGCAAGCGUUAUCCGGAAUUACUGGGUGUAAAGGGAGCGUAGACGGCCGUGCAAGCCAGGAGUGAAAGCCCGGGGCCCAACCCCGGGACUGCUCUUGGAACUGUGCGGCUGGAGUGCGGGAGGGGCAGGCGGAAUUCCUGGUGUAGCGGUGAAAUGCGUAGAUAUUAGGAGGAACACCAGUGGCGAAGGCGACUUUCUGGACUGUACCUGACGCUGAGGCGCGAAAGCGUGGGUAGCGAACGGGAUUAGAUACCCUAGUA
rnacentral:rRNA from 1 species